UUACGGCCAUAUCACAUUGAAACAGCGGUUCUCGUACGAUCACCGAAGUUAAGCAACGUCUUACCAUAUCAGUACCUUUAUGGGUGACCGCUUGGGAAUAACAGCUGCUGUAAG
rnacentral:rRNA from 1 species